UUGCUCACGGACACAGCGUCGAUGGAAGAAUGAUUUCAUAGUGCUAUGCGUAGUUACGUAGUAUUAAUGAAACCUGCGUUCAGAUGUCGUAGGCCUAUUAUAAAGGAACACUCGAUUAAUACAUUCCGGACGGUGGUGCGUCGGUGCAACCUCAGCCUUAUCUUCCGUUAUGCAUGACAAUAUUGUUGUUCACGUUUCGUUCGUGAUAUAUGGACCUUUCGGCGAUAAUGUUGACCAUGACGCCAUCAAAAGCACGUAUAUAAACCAAUCUUUGAAAUUCUUGACUCAUAACUGCACUGGAAAUUGUGAAAUAAAAGCAGAAAGGAUGGCGUCUCGACUUUUCGGAAUAGGAGCAGCUUUUUUGCUCGUUGUCGUAGGAACACAAGCACAAGGGCCUUAUGGUCAGGGACCGUCAUACUACAGUGGUUAUAACUCUCCCUAUGGCACACCGAACGGGCGGCCUUUCCAGACUUCAUACUAUGGUGGCGGCGGUGGGUCGGUCCAAUCUCCAGGGUAUCAGAGCCCGCCCUACGGUCGCCCAUACGUGCCAA